UGUUGUCCUUGCUUGCCUUGCUGUGAGUAGCAUUGUAUAAGAAGUGGAGGAUGAAGGGUGUGUGUUGCUUCUUGAUGAUAAAUGAUACAGAACAGUAGUAAGAAGGAAGAAGAAAACAAUACAGUGGGACUUCAUUAUAAAAUAGCUCAAAUGGAAGCCUUCUUCCUUGUAGCCCGCCAUGCCAC